AAAAUGUUUUUUUUUCCUUUUUUUAUUUUUGAAAGAUCGUCUAAUAAAUUAUUGAAUAGUAACAAUUUCCCCAUGAUGACUUACGUUAUGAUGUCAAGCACUCGAAUAGUCGAGCGCGCUGUCCUCUGACAGCUCGUGUUUGUUAAUAUGAACAUUUUUGGGCAGUGCCAUCGAAGUUUAUGAAAGUCUUAGAUGCAUUGAAUUACAAACUUGAUAUGACCAAAGUUGCACUUUUUCACUUGUAAAAUAAAAAAUUAAUUGUUUUUAAGUGAUAAAUACAACGUGCAAUUUUUGGUUAAACUGUUGAUUAAUGUAAUCAUGUUAUAGUACACAGUAAGGGUCAAUGUAUAUUUGUUUGAGACUAACUUUAUAUGGUGGCUAUGAAGAAUAAAAUAAUGAAUUUCUUAUUAUACAUAUAACAAGUAUAUGACUUGCAGUUUCCAUUAUGCAUUAAUGUAGCAUUUUGUUAGUAAGUUGUAUUCAUGCUCAUGUUAUUUGUACAAUAUAUGUAUGAAUUUCAUAAUAAGAAAGAACGUUAAAUCGGCUUUGUCGUAGGUAUGUUUAUUUAUAAUACCAAAAUGUGACAACUUUUAUGUAAAAUGUAGAUUUGUAUCUUAAAUAUGAUUGUGUCAUUUAUGUAUAUAGGGAUGUUUCUUUUGUUUGUAAUGUCAAUAUAAAGUGUUGAGAUAACCAAUAUGGGAUUUAUAUAUUGUUUGGUUAGUUUCCAAAACUUAAUGAUUUUUCGUUGAAUGGUAAAUAAAUUGAAGUGUAAUUGAAGUUGUAUUUCGUUGAAUGUCAUAAUUGAGGUUGUAUUUCGUUGAAUGUCAUAACUAUUAUCAAUAACAUAAUAAUGAUAAUAUAUACACAGUUCUAUAAUGAAAUUGGAGGCUGUAAUUUUUAUUUUUUUUAAAACGUUUAACCAUCCAAACACAAUAUUUUCAGGAAUUGUUUUUUAUUAUGCCCCCCUUCGAAGAAGAGGGGGUAUAUUGCUUUGCUCAUGUCGGUCUGUCUGUCGGUCGGUCGGUCCGUCCACCAGGUGGUUGUCAGACGAUAACUCAAGAACGCUUGGGCCUAGGAUCAUGAAACUUCGUAGGUAGAUUGAUCAUGACUUGCAGAUGACCCCUAUUGAUUUUGAGGUCACUAGGUCAAAGGUCAAGGUCACGGUGACCCGAAAUAGUAAAAUGGUUUCCGGAUGAUAACUCAAGAACGCAUACGCCUAGGAUCAUGAAACUUCAUGGGUAGAUUGAUCAUAACUCGCAGAUGACCCCUAUUGAUUUUCAGGUCACUAGGUCAAAGGUCAAGGUCACGGUGACCCAAAAUAGUAAAAUGGUUUCCGGAUGAUAACUCAAGAACGCAUACGCCUAGGAUCAUGAAACUUCAUGGGUAAAUUGAUCAUGACUUGCAGAUGACCUCUAAUGAUUUUGAGGUCACUAGGUCAAAGGUCAAGGUCACGGUGACCCGAAAUAGUAAAAUGAUUUUCGGAUGAUAAUUCAAGAACGCAUAUGCCUAGGAUCAUGAAACUUCAUGGGUAGAUUGAUCAUGACUCGCAGAUGACCCCUAUUGAUUUUGAGGUCACAAGGUCAAAGGUCAAGGUCACGGUGACCCGAAAUAGUAAAAUGAUUUUCAGAUGAUAACUCAAGAACGCGUUUGCCUAGGAUCAUGACACUUCAUAGGUACAUUGAUCGUGACUCGCAGAUGACCCCUAUUGAUUUUCAGGUCACUAGGUCAAAGGUCAAGGUCACAGUGACAAAAAACGUAUUCACACAAUGGCUGCCAGUACAACGGACAGCCCAUAUGGGGGGCAUGCAUGUUUUACAAACAGCCCUUGUUUUAUAUGUUUUAAUAAAUGUGCACUUUUGUUGGUCAUAUGAAUUUAAAUUAACAUACAAAUAAUAUAAGCAUCAGGGAUUUUUUGGCUGAGUUUACUAAUACAAGACUGAAUAACACAAAAUGAUAAUUAUUGUCGGUCUAGCUUCGU